GGGGAUCUAGCUCAGUGGUAGAGCGCUUGCCUAGGAAGCUCAAGGCCCUGGGUUCGGUCCCCAGCUCCG
rnacentral:tRNA from 1 species